rnacentral:rRNA from 1 species
AGAGUUUGAUCCUGGCUCAGGACGAACGCUGGCGGCGCGCCUAACACAUGCAAGUCGAGCGAUGAAGCUUAAAAGAUUUCUUCGGAAUGAAAUUAAGUGGAUUAGCGGCGGACGGGUGAGUAACACGUGAGUAACCUGCCUUUGACACAGGGAUAGCCUCGGGAAACAGGGAUUAAUACCUGAUGAAACAGAAUAAUCGCAUGAUUAAUCUGUUAAAGUGAAUUAGCGGUCAAAGAUGGACUCGCGUCUGAUUAGCUGUUGGUGAGAUAACAGCCCACCAAGGCAACGAUCAGUAACCGGCCUGAGAGGGUGAACGGUCACAUUGGAACUGAGACACGGUCCAAACUCCUACGGGAGGCAGCAGUGGGGAAUAUUGCACAAUGGGGGAAACCCUGAUGCAGCGACGCCGCGUGAGCGAUGAAGGUUUUCGAAUCGUAAAGCUCUGUCCUAUGGGAAGAUAAUGACGGUACCAUAGGAGGAAGCCCCGGCUAACUACGUGCCAGCAGCCGCGGUAAUACGUAGGGGGCUAGCGUUGUCCGGAAUUACUGGGCGUAAAGGGUUCGCAGGCGGAAAUGCAAGUCAGAUGUGAAAGGCAGAGGCUUAACCUCUGUAAGCAUCUGAAACUGUAUUUCUUGAGAUGUGGAGAGGCAAGUGGAAUUCCUAGUGUAGCGGUGAAAUGCGUAGAUAUUAGGAGGAAUACCAGUGGCGAAGGCGACUUGCUGGACACAAACUGACGCUGAGGAACGAAAGCGUGGGUAGCAAACAGGAUUAGAUACCCUGGUAGUCCACGCUGUAAACGAUGAGUGCUAGGUGUCGGGGGUGACCUCGGUGCCGCAGUUAACACAAUAAGCACUCCGCCUGGGGAGUACGUACGCAAGUAUGAAACUCAAAGGAAUCGACGGGGACCCGCACAAGCAGCGGAGCAUGUGGUUUAAUUCGAAGCAACGCGAAGAACCUUACCAGGACUUGACAUAAUGGUGACCGGUAUAGAGAUAUACCUUUCUCUUCGGAGACAGUAUUACAGGUGGUGCAUGGUUGUCGUCAGCUCGUGUCGUGAGAUGUUGGGUUAAGUCCCGCAACGAGCGCAACCCUUAUCUUUAGUUGCCAGCACGUAAAGGUGGGAACUCUAAAGAGACUGCCGUCGAUAAGACGGAGGAAGGUGGGGAUGACGUCAAAUCAUCAUGCCCUUUAUGUCCUGGGCUACACACGUGCUACAAUGGCUGGCACAAAGAGAAGCAAAACAGUGAUGUCAAGCGAAUCUCAUAAAGCCAGUCUCAGUUCGGAUUGUAGGCUGCAACUCGCCUACAUGAAGUCGGAGUUGCUAGUAAUCGCAGAUCAGAAUGCUGCGGUGAAUGCGUUACCGGGUCUUGCACACACCGCCCGUCA